rnacentral:rRNA from 12 species
AUGGGCCCGCGUUGGAUUAGCUAGUUGGUGGGGUAAUGGCCUACCAAGGCGAUGAUGGAUAGCCGGCCUGAGAGGGUGGACGGUCACACGGGCACUGAGACACGGGCCCGACUCCUACGGGAGGCAGCAGGAAGGAAUAUUGGGCAAUGGGCGCAAGCCUGACCCAGCGACGUCGUGUGGAGGAAUAAGGCCUUCGGGUUGUAAACUCCUAACAAGUGUUAGUAAGGUGCAGACGCUAAUAUCGUCUGUAAUUGAAAAAGGCACAAGAUGAAGUCAUGGCUAACUCCGUGCCAGCAGCCGCGGUAAUACGGAGAUGG